rnacentral:tRNA from 1 species
GUGGUUGCGGCUUAGUAGUAGAGUGCUCGCCUAGCAUGUGUGAGGCCCUGGGUUCGAUCCUCAGCACCACA